rnacentral:lncRNA from 1 species
AGGUAAUGUAAAAACUAAUGCUGUGCCAAAUACUGCAACAAACAGUGGAUUAUAAAUGAACCCUUUGGUAUGUUUUUUUCUGACACGCUCUGCUAGCCCUUCUCCCCAGAAGGCUCUACUCUGUGGCUGGGAACAUGCUGGUACCAGGGUUUCUUACUGACACUUCUCCUCUUGGAUUUUCAUUUACUGUAUGCCUCCGAACAAUAAUACCCUUCAAUAAAUUAGGUGAAACUAAUGGCAAAGAUAUCGAAGAACAAUGAAAAUACUUUUGACCUGCCUGUAAAAUGACAGUAGAUAAUAAUCUUUACAAUUAACACUCAUAGAAAAGAUGUUCAACUCUUCACCAAAAGACAUUACUUAAUUUCUGGUUCAGACUUAUGCAGAGAACAGCUAAAUGCAAACCACCUGCUUAUAAUAAAUAAAUCCGUGUACAUUAGCAUGGAAGUUUUGAAUAUGAACAAACGGAAAAAGGAGAAGUUGCUACAGGACUAAAGUUGGAGUCACGUGGUUUCAAAGUUUGUGGAAAGUUUUUUUUUCUUUUUUUUAUGCUCUGUGUGUGUGUCAAGCUUUUAGAUGUGAGUCCUUCAAAGUUGUCAGACUACGUUUCCCUCCAGCUGGUUUGGAGCUGAUUUUCCAACUUCAUUUACAAUACUCUGAAGUCUAUUUUGGAGCUUCUGCCCAGGAUGUAUUAUUGGGCACAAAGAAAGAAAGCAAUAACAUUUCUGAAUGGGGCAGUGUGGAGAAAUCCUAA